CGUGACCCUGAGAACACUCAGCGCCAUCUUCUCUAACCACCACCGCCAUUAGUAGAUGCGCUUGAUUUGUCAACAAUCUCCAGGAAGGAGCGGAAUGCAGAGAGCAAAGCUGUGUCACCAUGGGUAUAUUCCAAAGAUGAUUAAAACCCAGAUACUGUCAUGAAGUUGUACUGAUAUGACUGCUUGUGCGUGAGCUGAAACUGUGUGGACAGGAGAAAGCCCAGGGGGUCUCAACCCUACAGAAAGAACUGCAUACAAUUAAGGGAUGCCAAGACUGGGAGAAAUAGACAGAUCUUGGUACCCACCCGCUACCCUUGCAACCUCCCCGGCAAAUGAAAAAAAAAAAUCUUGUUGUGGAAGCUGAGGUAAGUAUAGUCUUCAACCAUUGUCAUGGAAACUCUUCUUUGUAACAGAUGAAAACGACCACAGAAAAGCACAACCAGUCAAAAUGUAGAGUUGUGGACCCCUGAUCUGAUGGACACAUCUAUAAAACACUUCCAUAGCUGAGGCUCAGGAGAACUGUGGAAAGAAUGAUAGAUGCAUCUUUUAUAUCAGAAGAAGAGCUGAAUCAUGGAACGAAAGGUGACGACUAAGGCAAAGAGCCAUAAUUCAAAUCGUACAACUGCACAGCAAAGAGAGAGCUACAGCGUUGACUUUGGGACCGCCACACACUUCAACUUGGAGUCAACUGAAGGCUUCUCUGUAUGGGAACUUCCUGUCUUUAUAUUUUAGCUGCCCCCUGAGAAGCAUUAGUGUAGUUCAUCUCGCUCCACAUCUUUCUCUCAGGUUUAUUUUGGUUGGAGACUUACUGCCACAUGUUCUUCUGUUCAGGAUAACGGCCUUUCCGUUGGCGAAGUCCUGACUGAUCCUGCAUAUUCAGCUCCUAAAAUGAUCACCGAGAAACAGACAAUGGGAUAAAGUGAUGGGUGUAUAUCACUGAGGCCUUUAAGGUCAAGAAACAGUACAAUCUUGAAAUUAGGAUACUUUCAAGGAUGCAUUAGAGCACUUUUUUUUUAAACAGGAAGGAGGAUUACAUAAGAAGAAGCAAAGAAAGGGUAAGAUUCAUCCUUGUCAUUUUCUAGAGACCAUUUCUCUUCACCAUUUCUCUCGCCUGGGACUGGUCUUCCUUGUGGUGCUAUAAAACAUACCAGUCCCUAAAUUUUGGCUGAAGUCCAUGUCAACCAGCUGUACCAACUCAAUUUCUCAUUGUUUGCCAAUGGCAUUUACAAGUCUCUUAUAGAUAUUAUUAUAACCUUAGCUAUGUUUGUACAAUUAUAUCUUAACUACUCCGAGAGGGCACUGAAUCCAUCUUGACCUCAGCAAAUCCCUAGGUACAAACAGCUCAGUGGCUCAUAAUCAGAAGAAGCAGAAAGUUUAGUUCUAAAUAAUGACUGAACUUCCAAAAACAUUGUGUUCUAAAAUAAUAAUUAUCACUGACUUCUAUUAUUUAUAACAAUUUUAAAUUAAAUACGUAUUGAUCAUAUUCUUCUUCUCCCUCAGGUCCUUCCAGAUGCUUUCCCUCUCCAUACCAAUUCAACUUUAAAUUAUUUCUCAAAAAACAAUGACCUAUUUAAACAACCUCUCAAAAUCAAGGAAAUGAAAUAAACACCACUUCUCCCCACAAAGGAGCUAAUGUAUAAGCAAAUAACAGAACACACACACACACACACACACACACACACACACACGCACACACACACCAAAAUGAAAAAUGAAAAACAAAUAACAAAGACAAAAACAAAAACCAGAAAGCCCCCCAAAAUCCUGUGAAGUCAAUUAUAUAUUGGUCAACUAUUCCUGAACAUAAGGUCUGCCCUGGAGUGAAUGAUGUAUCUAGUGUUGCUCCAUUGAAGAAAAAUUAUUUUCUCUUUGAGCAAGCAUAAAUGACAGUUCAGUUGUUAACCUUUACUAUAAUGGCUAGGUAUUCAUUCAUUCAUUCAUUCAUUCAUUCAUAAUUUUAAUAUAACAAAAUGAAUUUAGCAAGAUAAGCAAAAAACCAUUGCAUUAAAGUUAGAGAAGAUAGCC